UACGAAGGGGGGCUAGCGUUGCUCGGAAUUACUGGGCGUAAAGCGCACGUAGGCGGCUUUCUAAGUCGGGGGUGAAAUCCUGGAGCUCAACUCCAGAACUGCCUUCGAUACUGGAAAGCUCGAGUCCGGGGAGAGGUGAGUGGAACUGCGAGUGUAGAGGUGAAAUUCGUAGAUAUUCGCAAGAACACCAGUGGCGAAGGCGGCUCACUGGCCCGGUACUGACGCUGAGGUGCGAAAGCGUGGGGAGCAAACAGGG
rnacentral:rRNA from 1 species